CACGUAGGUGGCAAGCGUUAUCCGGAAUUACUGGGCGUAAAGGGUCCGCAGGUGGUAUGGUCAGUCCGAUGUGACAGUACCCGGCUUAACUGGGUGAGGCCAUUGGAAACUGCCAUUCUUGAGUCACGGAGAGGGAAGCGGAAUUCCGGGUGUAGUGGUGAAAUGCGUAGAUAUCGGGAGGAACACCUGAGGCGAAGGCGGGCUACUGGGCUGAUACUGACGCUGAGGCGCGAAAGCCAGGGGAGCAAACGGG
rnacentral:rRNA from 1 species